UCCCCAAAUACCCGCUUUCUUUAUUGUUUGCCGCUCCCUCCCCAAAUUCCCUAUUUUUCUCUUAAACUCCAUUUCUUCUCUCUUUCUCCAUAUCCUUUCUUCUCGCAAAUCCAUGGAAGACCACAGCCAAGCCUGCUGGGUGAGCAUUCGUGAAGGCGGAGCACAAAGAGGCUUGCGAAGGCCUGACGUUGCUCACAGCGGAGGUGUGCGGUGGCUCGCAGCGAAGGCGGAGCUGGGUUGAUGAUGGGCGCAAGGAUGGGCUGGAUCUCUCGAAGUGGAACAGGAAUGGUUUCAGCAUCUAUUUGUUUUUUAGUUGCAGAGAUUGUUUUUGUAAGGUUAAACUUAAACCUAUGUGAUAAAUUGCAGAGAUUGUUUUUUAGUUGCAAAGAUUAAUAUUUAGUUGCAUAAAUUUUUCUUGGUAAAGCUUGUUGAACCCAAAAUUUGCUGAGAAUUACAUGGUAAAUUGUAUUUGACUAUAUUGGCUUUAUUUAGCUUUUUGGUUUGACACUUUAGCUUAUCGAUUUUUUUUAAAAUUUUUUUGAGUCAUUAAUAGUAUGUUGGCUCAUCAAAAGUGGUUUGCUAACGCAUUUUACAUUCAGAUGUUCUGGGAUGAGGAUUUAUAGAUUGAGAACUUUAAUGGGUCAAUAUUGAUAUUUUUAUGUAUUAUAUGUUUUUUAUAAUUAGUAUGUUCUGAUGGUUUAUAUAUGUGCACAGAGAAUGAGAGUGGUGAGUUUGAUUAUGUGGAUGUGAGUGAGAAAGGACCACCACACUAGAGAGAGUUAAAGGAAGAAUGGAGGAUGAGAGUGAGUUUAAUUGUUGGUUUAGCUCUUAAAUUUUGGAUCCUUUCAUUCAUGAAUGCAAGUAUCAGUAAUGUGCAGGUAUAUAUAUAUAUAGCGCGGAAAAGAAAGUGAUGAAAUUUCAUGACUGUCUUUACCACAAAUAAAGACUAUGGAAAAGAAGAGAGAGAAGAACAAUGGGCUGCAACGCAGAGGACACUCCAUGGUCUUCAACCACCGGAAUCCACCCGAAAAAAGUAGUUACAGGGAGCUUUCAUAGAUUGCAGAACAAGCCAAGCGCCAGGCUGAGGUGGCAAGGCUUAGGGAGUUGCAUACACUCAAGGGUCAUGUUGAGUCAGUGGUGAAGCUGAAAGGUACCUUUCCUAGCACACUCUCACUCUCACCAGUCCCAUUUAUUGAGAGAAAUUUUCAAGACUAAUGCAUGUUCAACUUACGAGACUGCAUGACAAAACCCAUACAUUUAAGGUAAGUUCACGGUAGAAGGUAACAAGUAGCACCUCAAGAAUGUGUGAGACUGUUGAAACAAGUUUGCUUUUACAGUAUAGGGCAAAGGAAGUAGUACAAAUUCUUACUUUGUAAAGACUAUUGGUAACGAGGGUGAGUACAAGGACAAGAAGAAGAAAUAUAUGUUGUAUGAUAAUGAAUUUAGUGUUUUAUUUUAUUUGUAAUUUUUAUUAGAGUAAAUGAUUCUUUUUUGAGUGGUUAAUUAUUUACUUUGUAAAUCUAGUUAUAUAUUUUUUAAGUUCAAGAAGAUUUUGUUUAUAGACAAGGUUAUAAAAUUUUUGAGUUA